GCCAUAGUAGCUUAACUAAAGCACCGGUCUUGUAAACCGGAGAUUGGAGACUAACCCCCUCCCUAAGGCU
rnacentral:tRNA from 1 species